AGCAGUUUACGAAUGUUCUUCACUCCUCAGGUAAGCAUUCCUCCAAUGGAUGAUCUAGAUGGCUUUACAGUUGAGGAAACACGGUGAAUGAUAUCUACAUGGUUUUUUGAGGGCUCUGAGGACAGCCAUAUUGCUGUGAGGACAAAGAUGGCAGCCUCUUCCAUGAGCACUACUGAGGAAAGGAGACAGAAGAUGGAGCUGGGAUCUCAUGGGGAUGGGCACUCCUUCCACAGGAGCACAUCAGAAGGCCUUUCAAUUGAGUGUGCAUGUUUGACAUUAGUCUGUGACGCGAAUAAGUCCCCCACAGAGGGUCCACUUGGAACAGCAGAGGCCUUCUAGUUCUUCUUACA